UACGGGGGGGGCAAGCGUUGUUCGGAAUUACUGGGCGUAAAGGGCUCGUAGGUGGCCGACUAAGUCAGACGUGAAAUCCCUCGGCUUAACCGGGGAACUGCGUCUGAUACUGGACGGCUUGAGUUCGGGAGAGGGAUGCGGAAUUCCAGGUGUAGCGGUGAAAUGCGUAGAUAUCUGGAGGAACACCGGUGGCGAAGGCGGCUUCCUGGACCGACACUGACGCUGAGGCGCGAAAGCUAGGGGAGCAAACGGG
rnacentral:rRNA from 1 species